AUCGUUGUCCCACAGCUGAGAUUUCAAUCAGACAAGAUUCUCAUAUGGCAUGGAAACACAGGCAAAGGAAAUAGUCACCAGACAGCAGUCGUGGAGAAUUUUUUAAAGAACUAAGGUGUGGCAAUGUCAGCCUUGCCUUGGGCAAAACCAGCUGGGGAUUACCUUUUCUUCCCCAGCUUCUGGUGCUUUCACCCCGAGUCUCCUCUUCUGAAACAAACAGGUUAGCAUCUGGUCUUCCCUUCUGUGCUGGAGCAGGAAUAGUCGAGUUACAUUUCUGGAGUGACUUCUGUGAAAGGGAAGGCAACCGACUGACGAUGUAGCUGGCAAACACUGCCCAGAGAGGACGUUCACCACAGCCGUGCUGCAGGAGUACUGGAGACCAAAAUAUACCUGGGUCCACCGUGUUGGCUCUGUUCAUCUCUUUAUAGGAUUUUCCUU
rnacentral:lncRNA from 1 species